GUGGAUGACGGUACCGGAAGAAGAAGCACCGGCUACUACGUGCCAGCAGCCGCGGUAAGUACGUAGGGUGCGAGCGUUAAUCGGAAUUACUGGGCGUAAAGCGUGCGCAGGCGGGUUUUGUAAGACAGAUGUGAAAUCCCCGGGGCUUAACCUGGGAACUGCAUUUGUAACUGCAAGGCUAGAGUACGGCAGAGGGGGGGUAGAAUUCCACGUGUAGCAGUGAAAUGCGUAGAUAUGUGGAGGAAUACCGAUGGCGAAGGCAGCCCCCCUGGGUCGAUACUGACGCUCAUGCACGAAAGCGUGGGGAGCAAACAGGAUUAGAUACCCUGGUAGUCCACGCCCUAAACGAUGUCAACUAGGUGUUGGGGGAGGAGACUUCCUUAGUACCGCAGCUAACGCGUGAAGUUGACCGCCUGGGGAGUACGGUCGCAAGAUUAAAACUCAAAGGAAUUGACGGGGACCCGCACAAGCGGUGGAUUAUGUGGAUUAAUUCGAUGCAAC
rnacentral:rRNA from 1 species